CCAACUUGCUGCACGCUGCGCAACUUCACGCACUUUUGUUGUUCGCACGGCAGAAGACGGAGCUCGGAUCAACAUAAUUUUAAUGUUUUAAACAAAAUUGCAUAAAACAACCUUGUUUUGCGAAUCAAAACAUAAUUAUUGAUCCUAAAAUCACUGAUUAAACUCUUGUGCCAACAGUGUUUUUGUGUGAUCUUUUGUGUGUAGGAGCCAACAAAUUACGUGUAGGCUGUAAAAACGGUCCCAAGAGGGCGUAGCACCCAGUUCCGGAUCCUCUGCGGAAGUUGCAAGUGCCUUUGCUGAAGUUCGUCGGAGGGAUUGUUCUCGAGAAGCAGCGAAGCAAAAGCAUAAGCUUCUGAGAAUGCUGGGUCGAUCACUCUCAACCUGCUUCUGUUCAAUGGCCAGGCAAACUGCGUUAGAUUAACCGCAAAUGACGUCCAUAAUGUCGAGCAGCUCGGUCGAAGAUCUGGAGGCUGAGCUGAGCGAGAUGGGCUUCUCAAUGUCAUUGUCGGACUUUGAGAAGAGUCUGCAGUCGGAGGAGUCGGCGCAGCAGUUGGAAGCGAUUCGCGGUGAAGGCAUCACGGCUAAAAAUUACAUGUCCAACAUUCGGCUGGCGAGCGAGUUGAACGAACUGAAGGUCCAUAACGCUCCCAUGGGUCACAUGCCUACGUCUACGGAACUGCUGGGAACGACUCACGAGAACGAGAUCACGCCAUUGCUGCGAAAACUCGGCAUCUGUGGACAGGACGGCGAACUGAGCAGCAGCAAGACAAGGAUGGUACCACAAUACAAGGACGAAAUCAAACUCGACAGAAACAUGCCGUUGAUUUUAAACGGAGACCUAUUCGACAUGUCCACGUACUACGACUCGGAUUUCUCGGAGGAGGACGAAGAAGUGGAAGAAGACAACGAUGAUCCGAGCCUGCCGUUAGAGCAACGCUUUUCCACCAUCAAAGAGUUCCAGGAAAUUUCCGCUCAAACUCAACGCAAACAGCAAAACAAUACUGCCGAAGAGAGCUUAUCCUCCUAUCCGGAAUCGUCGGAAGCAUGCACGUCGUCUUCCAACCCGGACAUGUCGUCGCACUCCACCACGGCGGACGAUGCGAGCAGCUCGACGGGAUCUUCGUCCAGUGGCACCACGUACAGCGCCGAGAACCAGUGCUCGAGCGAGUGGCACGCGGAACCUCCGCUGCUGAAAAAGAGCAAGCUGUACACACCGCGUGAGCUGUACGACAUCAAGAAUGGGAAGCAUUUGCGGGGUUAUGUGGAAGUUUCUAGGCAAUAGACGCAACAAUGAGUAGAAACAAUAAAUUGCAACUAUUUUUGGAAUUCAACAUCACUCUUGAAGCUUGUGAUAUGUCAAUGUUCAAGAUUUUAGCGGUCUUUGCAGAUCAAUGGGAAGGGGUCAAGCGGUGGUCGUUUCUUUCCGCGUUGCAUCUGCUAACGGAUUUAUAGAUAAACCAUGUUAAUAUAUUGAAGAAAUGCAAAUACAUUGAAGAGAUGUUUUUGCUCCUUCCUCUUUAGAAUAAUUGCACAAAACUGCAGCAUCCUGUCAUGUUCUCAUCCUUUUGUUUGUCUCGUCAUACAUCACACUCUGGAUUCAGCGGUAUACGCACUUCACAAAGAACCGGUCAAGAAAAAAACCAAAUGGUCAGCAGUGGCAGCGAAAGCAAGCCAGAGAUGGUGAAGAAAAACCCCAAGAAAUCGUUCCCUCUCCUUUGUUCUGCUGUUCGUAAAGCGAUUUCUUGACCCCUUUUCUUGGGAGGUGCGUAAUGGCCCUUCACGGGAAAGAUAUCACCUUACGUCCAGUGCGCUCUCACUUGUUUGUUGCUAAAUUCUCAGUCAUUGUUAUCUAAUGUGAUACUUAUGUAGUUAUCGGCACGCAACACAAAGAUCAAGCAAAGUCCUGAUGCAAACAAUGAUCAAGCUCAAGCUGUCACAGUCCCUGCGAAAUAUGUUGGUCGAUAUCAGGCGGUUAGUCGAAAAAACAAGCUAGAAGUUGCAUGAUAAACAACUUUUGCGAGAAAGAGAAAGCAGAUUUCUGAUGCAAACAAACCAACUUCUGUGGCACUCAGAGGUGUAAAUUUUCGACUAGAAUGCCUUAUACAUUUAAACAUAUCAAACGCAGUAGGUCCUUUAACUAAAUUUCGCCAAUUCUUUGUGUAAUUGCUUAACAAAAAAAUCCUGUAACCACGCGGAAAAUGAAAACAAAAUUGCUGCAAGGAACGCCACAUCUCUAUAAACCAAUCAAUCACACAGGAUGUAAAAUUGUUACUCUGUUAAAUAAAAAUGAAUUCUAUUAUAAAUAACACCACCACAA